CGCUCAGCCUCAGGACCAUCAUCCAUCUUCUCAUAUGCUGCAUUCUUCCUGCCUUGAAAGGGGUGUCAAACUGGCGGUCCACAGGCCAGAUGCGUCACACGCAGGCCACGCCCACCCAUAUUUUGUGAAGAGGGAAUGCUUUAAAAUGUGAGCUUUUCAUGCUGUAAAAUCAGGCCUCAAACCAGAAGAUGUAACAUUUAUGAUACAGAAUCCAGGCUGAUGAAUAAGGGCCAGUCCAGAUGGCAGCAGUUUCUCCUAACAGUUGUAACAAGAAACCGGAAAUAGGGAAGGAAUUCCAAGGAGCAGAAGAGAGGAGGGGUAUUAACAACACUUUCAGUUGGACUAUAACUUGUUGCUAGAUAAGAGCUCUUAUGGCUGUGGAGCUGUUAAGAUGCAGAUAUUGUGCAGAAUUUGAUUUUUUUAGAUUCUGAAAUGAGCUGACCUGAUUAAUGGUUUCCAAAUGAAAAAUAGAAGAUGAUUUGUAAUUA